UUUCCGUAGGUGAACCUGCGGAAGGAUCAUUACAGAGUUCAUGCCCUCACGGGUAGAUCUCCCACCCUUGAAUAUUCAUACCUUAGUUGCUUUGGCAGGCCGUGGAAACACCAUGGGCUCCGGCUUAUGCGUGCCUGCCAGAGGAAACAAACUCUGUUUUUAGUGAUGUCUGAGUACUAUAUAAUAGUUAAAACUUUCAACAACGGAUCUCUUGGUUCUG
rnacentral:misc_RNA from 1 species